UGGGUGAGUAACGCGUGGGUAACCUGCCCUUAAGUCUGGGAUACCAUUUGGAAACAGAUGCUAAUACCGGAUAAAAGCUACUUUCGCAUGAAAGAAGUUUAAAAGGCGGCGUAAGCUGUCGCUAAAGGAUGGACCUGCGAUGUAUUAGCUAGUUGGUAAGGUAACGGCUUACCAAGGCGAUGAUGCAUAGCCGAGUUGAGAGACUGAUCGGCCACAUUGGGACUGAUACACGGCCCAAACUCCUACGGGAGGCAGCAGCG
rnacentral:rRNA from 1 species